rnacentral:rRNA from 1 species
AGCGUACACGGUGGAUGCCCUGGCAGUCAGAGGCGAUGAAGGACGUGCUAAUCUGCGAUAAGCGUCGGUAAGGUGAUAUGAACCGUUAUAACCGGCGAUUUCCGAAUGGGGAAACCCAGUGUGAUUCGUCACACUAUCAUUAACUGAAUCCAUAGGUUAAUGAGGCGAACCGGGGGAACUGAAACAUCUAAGUACCCCGAGGAAAAGAAAUCAACCGAGAUUCCCCCAGUAGCGGCGAGCGAACGGGGAGCAGCCCAGAGCCUGAAUCAGUGUGUGUGUUAGUGGAAGCGUCUGGAAAGGCGCGCGAUACAGGGUGACAGCCCCGUACACAAAAAUGCACAUAUUGUGAGCUCGAUGAGUAGGGCGGGACACGUGGUAUCCUGUCUGAAUAUGGGGGGACCAUCCUCCAAGGCUAAAUACUCCUGACUGACCGAUAGUGAACCAGUACCGUGAGGGAAAGGCGAAAAGAACCCCGGCGAGGGGAGUGAAAAAGAACCUGAAACCGUGUACGUACAAGCAGUGGGAGCCCUGAUUUAUCAGGGUGACUGCGUACCUUUUGUAUAAUGGGUCAGCGACUUAUAUUCUGUAGCAAGGUUAACCGAAUAGGGGAGCCGAAGGGAAACCGAGUCUUAACUGGGCGUUAAGUUGCAGGGUAUAGACCCGAAACCCGGUGAUCUAGCCAUGGGCAGGUUGAAGGUUGGGUAACACUAACUGGAGGACCGAACCGACUAAUGUUGAAAAAUUAGCGGAUGACUUGUGGCUGGGGGUGAAAGGCCAAUCAAACCGGGAGAUAGCUGGUUCUCCCCGAAAGCUAUUUAGGUAGCGCCUCGUGAAUUCAUCUCCGGGGGUAGAGCACUGUUUCGGCAAGGGGGUCAUCCCGACUUACCAACCCGAUGCAAACUGCGAAUACCGGAGAAUGUUAUCACGGGAGACACACGGCGGGUGCUAACGUCCGUCGUGAAGAGGGAAACAACCCAGACCGCCAGCUAAGGUCCCAAAGUCAUGGUUAAGUGGGAAACGAUGUGGGAAGGCCCAGACAGCCAGGAUGUUGGCUUAGAAGCAGCCAUCAUUUAAAGAAAGCGUAAUAGCUCACUGGUCGAGUCGGCCUGCGCGGAAGAUGUAACGGGGCUAAACCAUGCACCGAAGCUGCGGCAGCGACGCUUAUGCGUUGUUGGGUAGGGGAGCGUUCUGUAAGCCUGUGAAGGUGUGCUGUGAGGCAUGCUGGAGGUAUCAGAAGUGCGAAUGCUGACAUAAGUAACGAUAAAGCGGGUGAAAAGCCCGCUCGCCGGAAGACCAAGGGUUCCUGUCCAACGUUAAUCGGGGCAGGGUGAGUCGACCCCUAAGGCGAGGCCGAAAGGCGUAGUCGAUGGGAAACAGGUUAAUAUUCCUGUACUUGGUGUUACUGCGAAGGGGGGACGGAGAAGGCUAUGUUGGCCGGGCGACGGUUGUCCCGGUUUAAGCGUGUAGGCUGGUUUUCCAGGCAAAUCCGGAAAAUCAAGGCUGAGGCGUGAUGACGAGGCACUACGGUGCUGAAGCGACAAAUGCCCUGCUUCCAGGAAAAGCCUCUAAGCAUCAGGUAACAUCAAAUCGUACCCCAAACCGACACAGGUGGUCAGGUAGAGAAUACCAAGGCGCUUGAGAGAACUCGGGUGAAGGAACUAGGCAAAAUGGUGCCGUAACUUCGGGAGAAGGCACGCUGAUAUGUAGGUGAAGCGACUUGCUCGUGGAGCUGAAAUCAGUCGAAGAUACCAGCUGGCUGCAACUGUUUAUUAAAAACACAGCACUGUGCAAACACGAAAGUGGACGUAUACGGUGUGACGCCUGCCCGGUGCCGGAAGGUUAAUUGAUGGGGUCAGCCGCAAGGCGAAGCUCUUGAUCGAAGCCCCGGUAAACGGCGGCCGUAACUAUAACGGUCCUAAGGUAGCGAAAUUCCUUGUCGGGUAAGUUCCGACCUGCACGAAUGGCGUAAUGAUGGCCAGGCUGUCUCCACCCGAGACUCAGUGAAAUUGAACUCGCUGUGAAGAUGCAGUGUACCCGCGGCAAGACGGAAAGACCCCGUGAACCUUUACUAUAGCUUGACACUGAACAUUGAGCCUUGAUGUGUAGGAUAGGUGGGAGGCUUUGAAGCGUGGACGCCAGUCUGCGUGGAGCCGACCUUGAAAUACCACCCUUUAAUGUUUGAUGUUCUAACGUGGACCCGUAAUCCGGGUUGCGGACAGUGUCUGGUGGGUAGUUUGACUGGGGCGGUCUCCUCCUAAAGAGUAACGGAGGAGCACGAAGGUUGGCUAAUCCUGGUCGGACAUCAGGAGGUUAGUGCAAUGGCAUAAGCCAGCUUGACUGCGAGCGUGACGGCGCGAGCAGGUGCGAAAGCAGGUCAUAGUGAUCCGGUGGUUCUGAAUGGAAGGGCCAUCGCUCAACGGAUAAAAGGUACUCCGGGGAUAACAGGCUGAUACCGCCCAAGAGUUCAUAUCGACGGCGGUGUUUGGCACCUCGAUGUCGGCUCAUCACAUCCUGGGGCUGAAGUAGGUCCCAAGGGUAUGGCUGUUCGCCAUUUAAAGUGGUACGCGAGCUGGGUUUAGAACGUCGUGAGACAGUUCGGUCCCUAUCUGCCGUGGGCGCUGGAGAACUGAGGGGGGCUGCUCCUAGUACGAGAGGACCGGAGUGGACGCAUCACUGGUGUUCGGGUUGUCAUGCCAAUGGCACUGCCCGGUAGCUAAAUGCGGAAGAGAUAAGUGCUGAAAGCAUCUAAGCACGAAACUUGCCCCGAGAUGAGUUCUCCCUGACUCCUUGA